GAACUACUCCCUCUGUCCCAAAUUUCUUGUCUUAGAUUUGUGUAGAUACGGAUGUAUCUAAUACUAAAAUGUGACUUGAUACAUCUGUAUCUAGACAAAUCUAAGACAAGAAUUUUGGGAUGGAGGGAGUACUUU
rnacentral:pre_miRNA from 1 species